CUCGCUCGCUCGCAGCCGCCUCAUAAGUUCGUGCCUCCCGGCCGAGAUAGCGGAGCAACUAGCAAGAGCCCCGGCGGCGCGGUCUCAGAGAGACAGAGAGCCGGCCUCGCGUCCCGGGGCCGCCCCGUCGGCAGCACGCGGGCCUGCGGUGUUAUGGAGAGAGACUGCAAAGCCACAAACUCUGUGUCAAGGCCAAAGACAAAGGAGUUUUCUGGUGCUCCUGUUGAAGGUGAUGGAGAAGGCAUCAGGGCAAUGCUGUGUGCUGCCCAGGACACACUGGUGAACGUGGUAAAUGUGUUACUGCUUUUUGAUCUUCUAAAAUUACAGUGAAUAAAAUAAUAAACACCACCACACAUUCA